GUGCAACUGGUCAAGGGUCUAACUUUGGAGCUAUCUGGGUGGAGUGUGGAAAACAUGAAACAUUUCCUGAAAAUAAAAUAAUAAUAUCUGUCAAAUCAAAUCAAAUUCACCAACUCUGCAAGACUAAAUGCAAUUUUUGAGGUGAAGCCCCUAUGCUCUAAGAAGAAGCAGACAAAAGAAGCAAAGUCUAUUUGUGUCUAAAAUAUUUGCCACUUACCAAGGGAUACUCUGUAAGUAUAAUCUUGAGAGGGAGAAACCAUAUUAC
rnacentral:lncRNA from 1 species